GACGAACGCUGGCGGCGUGCUUAACACAUGCAAGUCGAACGGAAAGGCCCCUUUGGGGGUACUCGAGUGUCGAACGGGUGAGUAACACGGUAGUAACCUGUCCUCGUCUCCGUGAGAACUUCAGGAAACUGGGGCUAAUACCGGAUAGGAAUCCUUGCUGCAUGGUGGGGGUUGGGAAGCUUCGGCGGUUUUGGAUGGACUCGCGGCUUAUCAGCUUGUUGGUGGGGUAGUGGCUUACCCAGGCUUUGAGGGGUAGCCGGCAUGAGAGGGCGACCGGCCACAUUGGGACUGAGAUACGGCCCAGACUCCUACGGUAGGCAGCAGUGGGGAAUAUUGCACAAUGGGCGGAAGCCUGAUGCAGCAACGCCGCGUGCGGGAUGACGGCCUUCGGGUUGUAAACCGCUUUCAGCAGGGGCGAAGCUUGUGGUGACGGUACCUGCAGAAGAAGCAACGGCUAACUACGUG
rnacentral:rRNA from 1 species